GGCUUCUUGAAUAAAUAGGAGGUCGGGCCUGCCCAAUGAUUAAUUUAAUGGCUGCGGUAUAUUGACCGUGCAAAGGUAGCAUAAUCAUUAGUCUUUUAAUUGGGGACUGGAAUGAAAGGUUUGACAAGAAAUUAACUGUCUUUUAUUAAAUUUUGAAUUUUACUUUUAAGUUAAAAGGCUUAAAUAGAAUUGAGGGACGAGAAGACCCUAUAGAAUUUAUAAUAAUAUUUUUUAUUAAUAUGCUAAAGAUCAAAAUUUUUUAAUAUAAAAUUUUAUUUUGUUGGGGUGACAAGAGAAUAAUUUAAGCUUCUCUAAAUUUAACUAUGAUGUUAGGAUUAAUUAUAGUAAGAUCCUGUAUUAUGGAUUUAAGAAAAAAUUACCUUAGGGAUAACAGCGUAAUUUUGUUUGAGAGUUCUAAUCAAUAAUAAAGUUUGCGACCUCGAUGUUGGAUUAAGAUAAUUUUUUGGUGCAGAAGCUAAAAAAAUGAGUCUGUUCGACUUUUAAUUUCUUACGUGAUCUGAGUUCA
rnacentral:rRNA from 1 species